rnacentral:rRNA from 1 species
UACAGAGGGUGCGAGCGUUGUUCGGAAUCACUGGGCGUAAAGGGCGUGUAGGCGGUCCGCUAAGUCUGAUGUGAAAGCCCGGGGCUCACCCCCGGAAGGGCAUUGGAAACUGACGGACUCGAGUCCCGAAGAGGAGGGUGGAAUUCCUGGUGUAGCGGUGAAAUGCGUAGAUAUCAGGAGGAACACCGGUGGCGAAGGCGGCCCUCUGGACGGUGACUGACGCUGAGACGCGAAAGCGUGGGGAGCAAACAGG